rnacentral:rRNA from 1 species
AGUCCUGCCACCCCACGGAGCUCCCCAAGUUCGGAUCCGCAAGGACCGGGCCAGCGGGACGUCCGCGUGGCAGGGUGCACUUUCUCCGCGGUCGAGUGCUACGACCGGUUUCGCGGCGGUCAGAAGCCCGGCGGAAAGGUAGCGCCGCCCCUCGGGGUGUCGUGUUAUAGGCCGCCGCGGUGGACUCGCCGCGAGACCGAGGACGCUUGCCGCGCCGAGCGGUCCCGGGCCGUCUUGGGAGGUUCGACCUCGGCUGCACUGCUCCGCAGAGCACCGUAACCGCCGCCCUAGCACGGGUCCGGAGACUGCCGGCGCCUCGGGUCAGUAGCG